rnacentral:rRNA from 1 species
AGUGGCGACCGGGUGAGUAACACGUGACUACCUACCUUCGAGUGGGGGAUAACUCCGGGAAACCGGAGCUAAUACCGCAUAACCGCAGGCAAAGCAGCGCUUGAAGAGGGGGUCGCGGCUGAUUAGCUAGUUGGCGGGGUAACGGCCCACCAAGGCGAUGAUCGGUAGCCGGCCUGAGAGGGCGCACGGCCACACUGGAACUGAAACACGGUCCAGACUCCUACGGGAGGCAGCAGUGGGGAAUUUUGCGCAAUGGGGGAAACCCUGACGCAGCAACGCCGCGUGGAGGAUGAAGUCCCUUGGGACGUAAACUCCUUUCGACUGGGAAGAUUGACGGUACCAGUGGAAGAAGCCCCGGCUAACUUCGUGCCAGCAGCCGCGGUAAUACGAGGGGGGCAAGCGUUGUUCGGAAUUAUUGGGCGUAAAGGGCGCGUAUGCGGUGCGGUAAGUCACCUGUGAAACCUCUGGGCUCAACUCAGAGCCUGCAGGCGAAAC